rnacentral:tRNA from 1 species
UUAAUUGAAACCAAAUCAGAGGUAAAUUAUUGUUAAUAAUUUUAUUGAAAAAUUAUCUUCCAAUUAAU